UACGUAGGGUGCGAGCGUUGUCCGGAAUUACUGGGCGUAAAGAGCUCGUAGGUGGUUUGUCGCGUCGUCUGUGAAAUUCCGAGGCUUAACUCCGGGCGUGCAGGAGAUACGGGCAUAACUUGAGUACUGUAGGGGAGACUGGAAUUCCUGGUGUAGCGGUGAAAUGCGCAGAUAUCAGGAGGAACACCGGUGGCGAAGGCGGGUCUCUGGGCAGUAACUGACGCUGAGGAGCGAAAGCAUGGGUAGCGAACAGGAUUAGAUACCCUGGUA
rnacentral:rRNA from 1 species